GAUGAACGCUGGCGGCGUGCUUAACACAUGCAAGUCGAACGGUGAAGCUCCAGCUUGCUGGAGUGGAUCAGUGGCGAACGGGUGAGUAACACGUGAGCAACCUGCCCCUGACUCUGGGAUAACAGCCGGAAACGGCUGCUAAUACCGGAUAUGCACCAUGAACGCAUGUUCUGUGGUGGGAAAGAUUUUUCGGUUGGGGAUGGGCUCGCGGCCUAUCAGCUUGUUGGUGAGGUAAUGACUCACCAAGGCGUCGACGGGUAGCCGGCCUGAGAGGGUGACCGGCCACACUGGGACUGAGACACGGCCCAGACUCCUACGGGAGGCAGCAGUGGGGAAUAUUGCACAAUGGGCGAAAGCCUGAUGCAGCAACGCCGCGUGAGGGAUGACGGCCUUCGGGUUGUAAACCUCUUUUAGCAGGGAAGAAGCGAGAGUGACGGUACCUGCAGAAAAAGCGCCGGCUAACUACGUG
rnacentral:rRNA from 1 species